rnacentral:rRNA from 1 species
CUUAGAAAUUUAUUUUUAAGUUAGAAAGCUUAAAUUUAUUUAAAAGACGAGAAGACCCUAUAGAGUUUUAUAAAUUAGAUUAGUUGAUGCUUUUUAGUAUAUUUAGGGUUGAUUAAUCUGUUUUAUUUUGUUGGGGUGAUGGAAAAAUUAAGAUAACUUUUUUUAUUUUUGACAAUAAUGUUUGAUUGAAUGAUCCGUUUAGGCGAUUAGAAGAUUAAAUUACCU